AUUGAACGCUGGCGGCAGGCCUAACACAUGCAAGUCGAGCGAGCGGCGGACGGGUGAGUAACGUAUGGGGAUCUGCCCGAUAGAGGGGGAUAACUACUGGAAACGGGUGCUAAUCCCGCAUACUACCUGAUGAAUCCAUCUGGGAGUAGCUAGCAGGUGGGGUAAAGGCUCACAUAGGCGACGAUCUCUAGCUGGGCUGAGAGGAUGAUCAGCCACACUGGAACUGAGACACGGCACAGACUCCUACGGGAGGAAGCAGUGGGGAAGAUUGCACAAUGGGCGCAAGCCUGAUGCAGCCAUGCCGCGUGUAUGAAGAAGGCCUUAGGAUUGGAAAGUACUUGAAGCGGGGAGGCGUUACCCGCAGAAGAAGCACAGGCUAACUCCGUGCCAGCAGCCGCGGUAAUAC
rnacentral:rRNA from 1 species